rnacentral:lncRNA from 1 species
GUUGAUAAGUUUUUUUUACUUCAAAAAAAGAAAAUAAUUGUUCACCGUCUGCCGUUGGUAAGUUUUUUUCGGCUCUAGUUCUUACGAUGAUAACGUAUCCUCUUGGUUUUGUGUUGAGUUCGGUGCUUAGGCUUAUUUUCAUGGUUUGGAAUGUUUGUUUCGCUUGUGCGGUUAGGAUUGCAUUACAAUCGGUUUGUAUUUGCGUUUGGAGAAGAUAGGACGUAGAACUAGUGAACUAUGUUUUGGUGUUUGGCUUUGUUCUAAGCCGGCACUGGAACAGGAUCCUGGUAAAAUGAGUACGUGUUUCCAGGGGAGGAUCCAUUUGGAAGGUGUCAACUGACACCACAAAAAGAGGAUAAGUUUCAUUGUGUGGAAACCGAAAUUCGCACUGUCGAUUUCCGUAAUCGAGAAAGUCAAGAAACAUUAAUUUUCCCUGAGGUCACGGAUUUCUGCUAAGCCAAACAUUAAGUGAUCAAAAUAUGAAAAACAGACAAAGCAAAAUAAAUCGAAAAGAAAAAAUGAGAGCAACGUAAGGAUGAUCUUAUUUCGAAUCCAUGUCUGAGCGUAGCGAUCGUAUAAUAUGUUCUAAAAGCCCCGGCUUCAAGAGCUGUCAGCAAGAUCUACAGUUCUAACCACCUAAACUUCGAACCUAGUUGAGUCACAGCUCGCUAACGAAAUCAAAAAUCAAAAAUUGCUUAAAUUUCUCUAAGUUAUAGGUUGAUGUAUAAAAGUUUUUGUCCCUUGCGCCUCUCACCUUGGCUCUCCAUAUAUAUGCCUCCAAGGUCGGUCGUUUUCCCUUUUCUGCCCCCGAUUCGAAUCUAUCCCUUCGCAAACAUAUUCCUUAUUCUCUCGAUCUUCAUGAUUAUCUUAGAAACUUGACAUUUAUCUUAUUUUUUAUUUAUCUUCUGUGAAUGCCAGAUAAACCGUCAUUGUAAUUUGGGCUCAUUCUCAUCUGAAAUUGCAAAUGGGCUUUCGCCGUAGAUAUUCUCGGGUUGUUUUUUUACUUGACAUUUUUACGAUUUCUUUCAGAGAAAUCGUCUUUUUAUACAAUGUUGGUUCCCAUUCCGUUGAUCCCUAGAGACAAUUCAAACUAAUCUUAUAGUCGAGAUAACAAUGGUGUUAAGUUAACCGUUAUCGUUUAUACGAUUUAUUCAAAAUUUUAUGAAAAACAAGUCCUUGUUAUUUUUGUCGUAAAAUUUCAACAAUAACUCCAAUCGAGACGGAACAAGGAUCCGUUUGGCAAAGACUCGACAUAGAGUGCUAUGAAGACAAGACGAACUGAAGAGUGGGAUUUCGUCGACUCGUAGGGACGGGGAACGGUGUGGCCGCCCUUAUGGGCGGCGAGAGGAUGUGUGGCCGUCCGUAUGGGAGUCGAGAGGAUGUGUGGCCGCCCUUAUGGGCGGUGAGACGAAGACGUGACCACCCUUAUGGUCGGCGAGAGGAGGCAUAGCCACCCUUAUGGGCGGCGGAAACGAGCGUGGCCGCCCUUACGGCGGCCAGACAAGGCACGUUGGCUGUGCUAGUGGUUGGAUGGAAGCAUGGACGCCCGCUGGCGAGAUGGACUGGAGACGAUGAGAAGUCAGGACGCGGCCGUUUCUCAUCGCAUCGUGUUGAGAGGUCAAGUAUACCUUCUGCGAGAACUUGUUUCAUCGAUUUUUUAACCACAAAAUUUUUUAAUUCUCGUAUUCUUUUUACUUUAAAGGGAGAAAAUAUUUUCCGUGGUAAUUUCCAGUCAUCGAUUCCGUUGUGACCGAUUUUGAUCUCAAACAUUUUGUAAACUAUUUGUGUAUUAAUCAAUUGUGGCUCAGUGGUAGGAAAGUGUAGUAAUGAACCCUAAAAUAUUGGGUUUGAUACCACCGAGUGAGCCCUUAAAAUAUCUUUUUCAAAUUUACACAAUUUUAUUUAUAUUGUGACCCAAUAUAAAUUUUCUGCUGGUUCCGCCACUGUGUGUUUCAAUGCUCCGGUGCUUAGUGAAGCUCUCUAUUUUGGUGCAGGAUCUAGAUGUGUUAUAAUUUUUUGUCAUCAACUUAAAUAGAUUCGAUUAAGACUCUGCUAAAGGUGUUUUUAUUAAAACUUCGAUUUAUAGAGGUUGGAAAGUUGAGCGUUUUGUUGUUUAAACAACAAAUGCUACACAGUUGAAGUGUUGAAAAAAUCAAUAUUAUUAAUUCAGAAUCAUUGCUAUAUUUUACCCCUACAAUUCCCUGGCAUAUUAUUUCUUGGGAAAUUAGGUGGUAUAACCAAACAAAAAUCCCUAAUUCAUUAUAUAACCAAAAUCAUCCUCUUUCUCCUCUUCUCUCUUCCUAUCUCUCUCUAACCUCUUUCUACAAAACUAAUUUAACUUUUUUUUAUGGUUAUAUCACAAAUAAGCCCUUACUUCUUUUGCUACUGGUUUUUCAAAAAAAAUUAUAUCCUUCAUUAAUGGUAUAAUGGUAAUUUGGUUAGUGGACUUACAUUAAUCUAAAGCUAAUAUACGUAACUGCCUUUGUUAGUGGGUUAUUAUAACCGUUUGAGUUAAGCCUAAGGGAUGACCAAUGCGGCUACUCCCCCUUUAUUCUGCACUAUACGGCUAGGGUUAUCAAUCUAUUGAAAUUUAAUUGCAGGAUCUACAUUUUUUUUUUACAAACUUGGAUCUACAUUAAUCUUUAUUAGUCACAUCUUUUAUGAGUUUAUUUUAAACUGUAAUAAUAAAAAUAAAAUUAAUAUAAAAUAAUUACCAUUUUAUAUAAAAUAUGUAAAAAUUCAAAAAAUUAUAGAUUAUAUAAAUCUCGCGCUUUGAAAAGCGCGGAUCAAAAUCUAGUACCUAUUGAUUCUGUUUCAUGUUUUUUUAAUUAUUCACUUUAUUGUUUGGCCAAUUUAGAUAAUUUAAAAAUUUGGAAUCGCAAAUUUGUAAUACCUAAGCUAUUCAUUCUCUCUAAUAUUUAUUUAUUUAUUCUUAACCAAAAACAUGAUUAUUCUUUUUUAAACGGACCUUAUAAAUCUAAUUAUAAGUUGCAUGAAAACUCGUUGAUACGUUUUGGAAUUGGAAUUUUUGGAAAUGUAUUAGAAAUGAGUUUUUCUGAAAAUUUCAUUUUGAAAACAUGAUAGUAAUUUGCAUCUUUCUUUAUUUCAGAAACUCAUAAUUAUACUUUUGAAACAUUGAUAUCUUAUGUUUUUCAUUUGAACGGUGGUGAAGUAAUUCAAUGGUGCUCCAAGGGAAACAAGUCUCGUCUUCUUACUUGUAAUUUUUUCUCCAAGUAUCUGUCUGGAGAGAAAGAAGAAGAAGAAGAAACUGAAGUACAUAUCUCCGAUGAUUCUUCGUCUGAGGAAGAAGACGAUCUAAUAAAUCCUGUCAUCAUUCCGCUUGCAACAAAACCCAAAAAACUCCAGGACGUAGGGAAAACGUUAUUUAUAAGCUAUAACUGUAAAGAAAGAUACAGUAAGAGUAGACGUGUCAAACAGAAAAUGGUUAUUCGG